ACUCUGACCUGUAGCAGUGAUGCUAACCCAGCAGCUAACUACACCUGGUACAAGGAGGAUGAAGACUCUCCAAAAGCUUCAGGACAGAUCUUCAACAUCACUGACUUCAGAGCUGAACACAGUGGGAGUUAUUCCUGUGAAGCCCAGAACAAGUUAGGACGUAGUAACUCCACCUUUCAUCUGAUUGUUGUGACAGGGAGUUCAACAAUGAUAGUGAAUGUCAUCAGGACGACUCAGGGGGUCUUGAUUCUGAUUCCUGUGUUUCUCCUGAGUCUGUGGAUCAGGAAGAAGAAAGCUCUUUGCUCCACCACUGAAGCACGUGAACCUGAAGAGAUAGAGUUGGACUCUCUUCCUGAUUAUGAGAACGACUCACACACUGCAGCACAGACAGAAGACACAGAGGAGCAGGAAGACCUGGUGUGAAGUCCAGUCAGGUUAGAGCCUCCUGCAUCAGAUCAAACAGGCCCACUCCACAUUUAGAGUCACAGUUCCAGCUGUAACUUUACACAAAGUUUCUGUGAUU